rnacentral:lncRNA from 1 species
CUGGUGGAUUCUAAAAUUCAAACAGCAUAAUAAAAAUGACCCUCCCUUUUAAUGUGUUUAAAAAUGUAGUCCACCCCUUUAGAACAGUCUGAAAAUUUUUCACCCCUCUCCAACAAUAAAAUUAAGAAGAACAUAGUAUGGCCGUAUGGUAAUUCUUCCCAUCCUAUUCUUUUGUGUGCUCUUUACUACCCUAGAUUUCAAAAUAUUCUGGGGGAGCAUGCCCCAUGCAGACCUCCCCUAAAAUGGCUCACACCUUUUCCCCUGGCUACGCCCGACUGUUUCAGUCUUUCUAUAUCAUCUUCUUUAUAUCAAUGCUAUAAAAUUUUAUUGUCUCCCCAAACACGUCUUCAAAAGAUUUAAACCACUCUUUUACACACG